rnacentral:lncRNA from 1 species
ACUCCUUGAUCUGCAGCCUUCUUCUUCUUCUCUUCGAUCCUUGAUCUCUAAGUCACUAAAACUUCUUCUAGGCAUGUGGAAGAGAGAGCAUCCAAUUUUUGGGUGUGAAAAGAAAGAAAUGAUGAGAGGAGGCAUGGAGAUGGAGAGAGAAAGAGUUUUAUUGAUCAAAAAUUCAUUCUAUGAAAUCUUAGAGACCAUCAUUUAUAUAUAGACACUACUCUGACACAUAUCUGGAAUCCUAUCAACUUAAAAAGAUAAAUUCUUAUCUC